rnacentral:rRNA from 1 species
UACGUAGGGAGCAAGCGUUGUUCGGAUUUACUGGGCGUAAAGGGCGCGUAGGCGGCAAAUUAAGUCAGCUGUGAAAUCUCCGAGCUUAACUCGGAACGGUCAGCUGAUACUGAUCUGCUAGAGUGCGGAAGGGGCAAUCGGAAUUCUUGGUGUAGCGGUGAAAUGCGCAGAUAUCAGGAGGAACACCGAUGGCGAAGGCAGGUCUCUGGGCCGAUACUGACGUGAGACGCGAAAGCGUGGGGAGCAAACAGG